AAUCAGCUGACGGAAAUAACAGUAGAAACGGGAGGGUGGAUGCUUAAAGACAAGACCAUGUUGCCAUUUCAUUUCAUGUAUCAUUUUAGAAAUACACACACAGAUAUGUGUAAGCGUAUAUGUGUAUAUGGAUAUAUGGAUUUAUGGGCUUCUCAAAUCCCACCUACACCAAUCUUUGGAACAUCCAUCACCCUGCUGGUCCAAGGGAGCCUGGGAGUAUGAAUCUUCUCACACCAAGGAUAAGGCUUUCUAUUGUCUCUUCCCAAUGCAUGGUAAAGAUGUGGUAAGAACUCAAAGGAUCAUGGUCUUUGGUGUGACAUCCUACAACAGUAUAGGAGCUGAAGGGACUGGUGGGCUUGUCCAGAUAACUCCAUUGAUGAUCCAGAGCACAAAGCAAGCUCCACAAAGAAACCUGUGGAGGUUCCUAAGUUUCUAGAUGUUUCUGUGUCAACCUUCUGCAGAUCUCGUUUUAGAUAAAGCUAAGACCACAGAGGAUAAUCCAAGUCCAGGCUCCUGUAAAUGCUAGGUCUAUACUCUCCCACUGAGCUACAUCCAGACCUAAAUUAUUUCUAUAGUUUAAAAAUUAUAUUUGUUAGGGCCAGCAAUAUGGCUCAGUAAGGAGUAAAGACACCUACUGUGAAGUCUGACCACCUGGCUCUGUUCCUGGAACCCAUGUUGUGAAAGGAAAAAAGAAAUCAUUUCCCACCAUGCCCUCUGACUUGUGUGAUUGUACAUAUACACAAUAACCCUCAAAAUAAAUAGGUAAUGCAAAAAUU
rnacentral:lncRNA from 1 species